rnacentral:rRNA from 1 species
UACGGGAGGCAGCAGUGAGGAAUAUUGGUCAAUGGACGAGAGUCUGAACCAGCCAAGUAGCGUGAAGGAUGACUGCCCUAUGGGUUGUAAACUUCUUUUAUACGGGAAUAAAGUUAGCCACGUGUGGCUUUUUGUAUGUACCGUAUGAAUAAGGAUCGGCUAACUCCGUGCCAGCAGCCGCGGUAAUACGGAGGAUCCGAGCGUUAUCCGGAUUUAUUGGGUUUAAAGGGAGCGUAGGCGGGUUGUUAAGUCAGUUGUGAAAGUUUGCGGCUCAACCGUAAAAUUGCAGUUGAUACUGGCGACCUUGAGUGCAACAGAGGUAGGCGGAAUUCGUGGUGUAGCGGUGAAAUGCUUAGAUAUCACGAAGAACUCCGAUUGCGAAGGCAGCUUACUGGAUUGUAACUGACGCUGAUGCUCGAAAGUGUGGGUAUCAAACAGGAUUAGAUACCCUGGUAGUCCACACAGUAAA